GGAAGUCCUGGUGGUAAAUACGGUAUGCCCAUGAUGGCACCCACCCGACAAGAUAUUCCCAAGGACUGCAAUUUGCAAUGGUGGUAGUACUGGAGCUCUAGUAAGCAAAGCAGAGAAAUUCAUGGAAGAAGACUACAAAUAGUGU
rnacentral:rRNA from 12 species